CGCAGGGAGGCGGCCUCCCGGGGCCGGCGGCUGAGUCCACCGAGGCUCGAGCGCGCGCGUCCUGCGGAGUGCGUCUGGCGGCCAGCCUGAGGCCGUCCUGUCCUCCCGGCCAAGGUGCUGGAUUCCAAUCUGAGACAGUUUCUCAAAUUAGCCCUAAAGAGGAGUGAAUACCACAGGGGCUGAAGUCCUCUGGUGCGGAUGAAGUGUGAACAAGGAUCUCUAAAAAUAUUAUUGUAUAUGUCGCCUGCCUCUGCCAACAUCACCCACUACAGGGGAUGUCUAUUGAAUAUCAGGUGCACUGUGAGGAUUAAAUAGGAUCAUGUAAGUAAAAAUCCAAAAACAGCAGAAUGUUAUUUUGAUCUUAAGUAUUCUGUUAGGCUACUACAUGUUUGUGAAGGGGUGGUGUUGGGAGGGGACCCCAGCUCUGUGCACUUAGGCAGAAUGAACGGGAUGUGGGGGGUACACCUUGAGCUUUAGGCUAUAUAUAUUUAUUGUCUAAUAUAUAUAUAAUCUAUAUUAUAUAUAUGUUAUACAUACAUAUACUUUUAUUUUUUUUCUUCUGAGACAGUCUCGCUCUGUCGCCCAGGCUGGAGUGCAGUGGCACUAUCUCGGCUCACUGCAACCUCCGCCUCCCGGGUUCACUCUGGGCCUGGGGCUGUUGAGAGGUUCCUUGCUAAGGGGGUUCUCUCUCCUAAGAGCUCUAGGAAUCCAAGGUGGAAUCAGAGGUGGAAAACAGAAAUGGUUGGGAUAUUCUGAGAAGAGGUCAGAAUGUGGUCAGAGGGGAAAGAACCAGAGGAUUGACCGUACGUCAGGGUUGUUUAGCAUCUUAGAAAUCAUUUAGGGCAGGGCACAGUGGCUCACGCCUGUAAUCCCAGCACUUUGGGAGGCAUAGGUGGGAGGAUCUCUUGAGCCCAGGAGUUCGAGACCAGCCUGGGCAAUACAAUGCGACUCCCAUCUCUACAAAAAAGAAAGAAAGGAAAGAAGAAAGGAAAGAAAAGAAAGAAAAUUAGUUGUGCACACCUGUAGUCCCAGCUACUUGGGAAGUUGAGGUGGGAGGAUUGCUUGAGGCUGGGAGGUUGAGGCUGCAGUGAGCUGUGAUUGCACCACUGUACUCCAGCCUGGAUGACAGAGUGAGACCCUGUCUCAAAAAAAAAAAAUCAUUAUUUAGGGCUGGGAGACAUGGCUCAUGCCUGUAAUCACACCAUUUUGCGGGGCGGGGCAGAGGCUGGAGGACUGCUUGAGCCCAGAAAUUCGAGACCAGCCUGGGCAACAUAGUGAGACCCCAUGUCUUAAAAAAAAAAAAGCCAGUGUGAUAGGUGGCACCUGUAGUCUCAGCUAAGCUACUCAGGAGGCUGAAGCGGGAGGGUCACUUGAGCCGAAGAGGUCGAGGCUGCAGUGAGCCAUGAUCCUGCACCUGGUGACAGAGGUAGACCCUGUCUUAAUAAUAAUCCAGCCUGGCCAAUAUGGUCAGACUCCGUCUCUACUAAUAACACAAAAAAUUAGCCAGCCAUGGUGGUGCUUGCCAGUAAUUCCAGCUGCUUGGGAGGCUGAGGCACUAGAAUCACUUGAACCCAGGAGACGGAGGUGCAGUGAGCCGUGAUCGUGCCACUGAACUCCAGCCUGGGUGGCUGAGUGACACUCCGUCUCAAAUAAUAAUAAUAAUAAUGGUACCUACCUCAUGAAGUUGUGAGAUUAAACAUGAAGUUGUAAGGUUUAAGCUAUAUAUAUUUAUUGCCUAAUAUAUAUAAAAUAUAUAUGUGUUAUAUAUAUAUAAUUUUAUUUGUUUUUUUCUUCUGAGAUGGAGUCUUGCUCUGUUGCCCAGGCUGAAGUGCAGUAGCAUGAUCUCGGCUCACUGCAACGUCCGCCUCCCAGGUUCAAGCAAUUCUCCUGUCUCAGCCUCCUGAGUAGUUAGGACUACAGGUGUGUGCCACCACCCCCAGCCAAUUUUUGUAGUUUGUUUUUUUUUCUUUUUUUUUGGAGACAGGGUCUAGCUCUGUCUCCCAGGCUGGAAUACAGUGGCACAAUCACAGCUUACUGCAGCCUCAAAACUCCUGGGCUCAAGUGAUCCUCCCACCUGAGCCUCCCGAGUAGCUGGGACCACAGGCAUGAGCAAUCGCACCUGGCCCUAAAUUAGGCCGCAUUAAAGCUCUUGCUUAUUACAAUGUCUGGUAUACAGUUAUUACUCAAUAAAUGCUCUUCUGGCCGGGUGCAGUGGCUCACACCUGUAAUCCCAACACUUUGGGAGGCUGAGGUGGGCGAAUCACUUGAGAUCAGGAGUUCAAGACCAGCCUGGCCAACAUGGCGAAACCCUGUCUCUACUGAAAAUGCAAAAAUUAGCUGGGAGUGGUGAUGCACACCUGUAAUCCCAGCUACUCUGGAGGCUGAGGCAGGCGGAUCGCUCGAACUCAGGAGGCGGAGGUCGCAGAGAGCGGAGACUGUACCACUGCACUCCAGCCUGGGUGACAGAGCGAGACUCCGUCUCAAAUAAGUAAGUAAAUAAAUAAAUGCUAUUCCUAUUUCUAUCCUUCAGACCUAAUUUUCCUUUGCUAUAAAUUGAAAAUGUUUAAGCAGUGAUUGUUCUGGGGAGCUUGCUCCCCUCCCUGGUGGGUUGCAAGAGAGUCACACUAGGGGUUUUUCAGAUAACACACCCUCACCCGAGGCUUUCAUUCAACCCCUAAGGCAGUGGCUUUUCAAAUCCCUGCUUGGGAAUGAUGGGGGCAAUUUGCCAAAAUGCAGAUUCCUGGGUCCCAGUGAUUCUGACUCAGUACAUCUGGAGUUGGCCCCAGAAUUCAAGUUGGUUUUUUGAGAUGGAGUCUCACUCUGUCACCCAGGCUGGAGUGCAGUGGCACAAUUUCGGCUCACUGCAACCUCCGCCUCCUGGGUUCAAGCAAUUCUCCUGCCUCAGCCUACCAAGUAGCUAGGAUUACAGGUGCAUGCCACCACGCCCAGCUACUUUUUUUUUUUUUUUUUUUUGAGACAGUUUCGCUCUCGUUGCCCAGGUUGGAGUGCAAUAGCGUGAUCUCGGCUUACCGCAACCUUUGCCUCCCAGGUUCAAGCAAUUCUCCUGCUUCAGCCUUCCAAGUAGCUGGGAUUACAGGCAUGCGCCACCAUGGUUGGCUAAUUUUGUAUUUUUAGUAGAGACAGAGUUUCUCUCUGUUGGUCUGGCUGGCCUCAAAUUCCCAACCUCAGGUGAUCUGCCCGCCUCCGCCUCCCAAAGUGCUGGGAUUACAGGCAUGAGCCACCACGCAGGGCCAGAAUUCAGGUUUUAACCAAUGUUCUGGAUGUAAAUGGUACACAGAAUCUGCGUAUUGGGGGUGGGGAGGGGCACAACCCCCUAAGAGUCUCUCUUGCUCCUGGACGGCAUGAUGGGAAGUGACCUGUUCCACUUGUCGAGAACUAGUGGACCCCAUGUUUCCCUCUAGCUUGGACACUAUGGUUCUCAGGAGGAAUCCUCACCCCCGGCCAGGAGCCCUUCUCCUCCACCUACUACUGCUGGGCUCUACCUCCCCCACUUUUAAUUUUAAGCCUUGGCUCAAAAUUCACUCCCCAAUAUUUCUCCCCUUCUCUCUACUUUCGUCCUCAAUAAUCCCAAGCAGCUGGGGUGUACAAGUCGUUUUCACCUCUUGGGACCGUGCUAAAGGGGGCAGCCUAUGAUUACCAUGAGGGUAUGGGAGCCCUGAACUGCAAAUCUAUCAUUUCCAGAGAAGCCAGAAAUCUGAAAUUUUCUGUGCAAUUUCUGAAACUUUAAAUCAGAAUUUUUUCUAAAAUUCAAUGGGUCAGAUACCACAGUCUGUGUAAUCAAUCCAUUCCAAAGUCUCCUCCUUUUGCUAAAGGAGAAGAUUCCUUAAAACAAGGCAGAAGCCAACUGAAGCAAGGGAGAACCACCUCCCACCCCUCCCCACACACACUUUCCACACCCAGUAACUAGGUCUCUGGGCGGAUAAUUCUGUUUUGUUUUGUUUUUUUUAAUUUUGGACAGCUAAUCUCUGUAGUGAGGAACCCAGAACUUUCGGUAAUGUAAGGGAUAUUAGUCUGGUUGUCAGAAAAAUGGGCUGGAGUAUUUGUGCUGUGUCCCUGACCAUAAUUCCUGCUCAGUUGCUUAGCUCCCUGGCAACUAUGUCUGAGGGCUAAACAGGAGUUGGUGUGAUCUUCCAGAAAAAGAACAGGCUUCUUGUCUUGCAGAGGCAGGAAGUCAGAAAACAAGAGUGUGUGUGUGUGUGUCAGGGGGUGGGGGGUGUCAGGCCUCCUUCCCUUCAGUUUGGGACUUAAAACUUCCACCAAUAACGUGAGUAUGUGCACCCAUGCAGCAGCCUGUCCGAGGACUCACAACUGGAGACACCUCCCUGCUUGGCGCUGCCCAGAAAACUAUGUAGAUGGCCAAGAAACCGACUUCCAUUAUAAAAUGUUUUUCUGUGUGUACCAGGAAAAAGAUGCUCAAAAUCCAAAUCACCACUUUAUUAUGUGGCAGUCACCAUGGUGCCAGCCUCUGCCUUCCCCAUGUCACCCUCCUAAUCCAGGGCUCUCCAACCAUAUUCAUGUUUGCGUUUUCACAAGUCAAUGUCCAUUAAGGCCUUGUGCUCCCCUUUUCUUCAGUACAGGGCAGGGCCCUUAUAAUUUGGGUCUCAAGAAUUGAUAGUUGUCUCUUAACUGGUUCUGGUGAGGCGCACUCACAGCAGUGAGUGGAGGGUCCUGGGAGGGCAUGGAUGACGGAGGCUGCCCCUAGAGGAGCUGGAUGUAGGAGCAGAGACAUUUCUUGAUCUUUCACUCUGCAAACUGGUCCAAGAACUUGAGAGGGGAUGACUUUGUCAGUGUCCCCAAAAACAUGGAGCGAAGGCAAUGACAAGGGCCUUUGCAGGAUGGAUUCCUUGAACCCAAUGCCCCGGGGACAGAAACCAGACACCAAGAGGAUAAACCGUGGCAAGGGGAAGCGGGGAUCGCCUGCCUGGCCCAGGGCACACAC
rnacentral:lncRNA from 10 species